rnacentral:rRNA from 1 species
GCAAGUCGAACGCGAAAUCCAUUUCGGUGGAGAGUAGAGUGGCGCACGGGUGAGUAACGCGUAGAUAAUCUGCCCUACAGUUUGGGAUAACUCGUUGAAAAGCGAGCUAAUACCGGUUAAUAAUCUAUGUCAUAAGGCUAGGAUUUGAAAGGCUUCGGUCGCUGUAGGAUGAGUCUGCGUAUCAUUAGCUAGUAGGUCGGGUAAAAGCCGACCUAGGCGACGAUGAUUACCGGGUUUGAGAGGAUGAUC